UAAAGUAUUAUUCACUUGAAGAACAAUACCGGCAUAAUUAUACAGAACAGUCAUUUUGCCUGUUGACAUAACAUAAAUAUGCUUUACAUGUCGUUUUGUUCUAGGGAGCAGGGAGCAUACAGAGGAGUUCAUAAAACUCCGUGGGCAAAAUGACCACCUCUUUACCGGGGCCAAAAAUACUGCCGCAGUCGGAUGGAGAACAAUCCUGCAAAAAAUGGGCCUGGAGGGUAAAGUUGAGCCACAACAGGCCAAAAAUAAAGUGGGACAACUUGAAAAAAAA